UAUCCCAACUGACCCUCCAUAUAAUACUUAAGUAAAACAUUAAUACAUAACCAUUUCUAACUACACAAAUUAAAGUACUGAAAAGGAAUAAACAUUAACUUAAAGUAGUGUAUAACACGUACCUUGUGCAUUAUGGUUUUACAAGCAAUUAAUUAAAUAAUACCCUCCCGAAUCCUACGCGAGCUGCUCCCAUAUAGCUAAGAGCCCACUACUAGUUGUGGCAACAACUUUAGAAAAUCUGGCAGCAGAGGCUACAUACCACCCGCGCUAGAAAAUCGCUGGUUUUCAGUAAAAUUUAUAAAUUAAAACAUGUAGUAAAAUUACAGUGUAAGGCUAUAGGGGACAAGCCCUAUAACCAGAUGCCAUAACAUAUUUACUAUUAAACAACUAGGCCUAAAAACAGCCACCCACAGUACCUUACCGUACCAAACAAACAAUCUCUGUAUACCACUGCCCCAUAAAACUGAAAUUUAAGAUAAAUUUUACUUCUUAAGAUAAUCUGUAAAAAUAAGUAUUAAAAAAUUAAAUCACAAAUACCUAUUAAUAAGUAAGUGCUCAUAAAGGAACUCGGCAAAUCCUUAUUUUUCUUGUAAUACCCUUAAGAAGUAAUUCCUGCCCAGUGACUAACGUUCAACGGCCGCGGUAUCCUAACCGUGCAAAGGUAGCAUAAUCACUUGCCCAUUAAUUGUGGGCUAGAAUGAAAGGAUUAACGAAAUAAAAACUGUCUCUAUGAGCCCUAUAAAAAUUAAUCUCUAACUGAAGAGUGUUAGAUAUCGUCGAAGGACAAGAAGACCCUAUAGAGCUUUAUUUUAACAAAAAUUAAAGACUUUUCUAAAAUUCGGUUGGGGCGACCUGGGAAAUUACUAAACAUCCCUCUACAUCAGAUAAAUAAAUCUCACUUCUGACCCUUAAUAAAGAUCACCAAAUCAAGCUACCUUAGGGAUAACAGGCUAAUCCCACUAAAGAGUCCUUAUCAAUAGUGGGGUUUGGCACCUCGAUGUUGGCUUAGGGAAUCUAUGCGGCGCAAAAGUCGCAUAAAGAUGGUUUGUUCAACCAAUAAUACCCUACAUGAGCUGAGUUCAGACCGGCGUAAGCCAGGUUAGUUUCUAUCCUCGAUAAAAUAAUCUAUUUACAGUACGAAAGGACCUAAAUAAGGAUAAUAAUUAUAUUCAAAGAAUAAAUAUAAUAUAAAAUUUAAACAGACAAACCCAUAAACUA
rnacentral:rRNA from 1 species